UACGUAGGGGGCAAGCGUUGUCCGGAUUUAUUGGGCGUAAAGAGCGUGUAGGCGGCUAGGUAGGUCCGUUGUGAAAACUCGAGGCUCAACCUCGAGACGCCGAUGGAAACCAUCUAGCUAGAGUCCGGAAGAGGAGAGUGGAAUUCCUGGUGUAGCGGUGAAAUGCGCAGAUAUCGGGAAGAACACCCGUGGCGAAGGCGGUUCUCUGGGACGGUACUGACGCUGAGACGCGAAAGCGUGGGGAGCGAACAGG
rnacentral:rRNA from 1 species